rnacentral:rRNA from 1 species
CUACGGGACGCAGCAGUGAGGAAUAUUGCACAAUGGGGGGAACCCUGAUGCAGCAACGCCGCGUGGAGGAUGACGCAUUUCGGUGUGUAAACUCCUUUUAUAUGUCAAGAAAAUGACGGUAGCAUAUGAAUAAGCACCGGCUAACUCCGUGCCAGCAGCCGCGGUAAUACGGAGGGUGCAAGCGUUACUCGGAAUCACUGGGCGUAAGGGACGCGUAGGCGGGUUGGAAAGUCAGGUGUGAAAUCCUACAGCUUAACUGUAGAACUGCACUUGAAACUUCUAAUCUAGAGUAUGGGAGGGGGAGAUGGAAUUAGUGGUGUAGGGGUAAUAUUCGUAGAUAUCACUAGGAAUACCUAAAGCGAAGGCGAUCUCCUGGAACAUUACUGACGCUAAGGCGUGAAAGCGUGGGGAGCAAACAGGAUUAGAUACCCCGGUAGUC